UACGUAGGGGGCGAGCGUUGUCCGGAUUUAUUGGGCGUAAAGAGCUCGUAGGCGGCUUGGCAAGUCGGGUGUGAAACCUCCAGGCUCAACCUGGAGACGCCACUCGAUACUGCUAUGGCUAGAGUCCGGUAGGGGACCACGGAAUUCCUGGUGUAGCGGUGAAAUGCGCAGAUAUCAGGAGGAACACCGGUGGCGAAAGCGCUCUGCUAGGCCGCAACUGACACUGAGGGACGAAAGCUAGGGGAGCGAAUGGG
rnacentral:rRNA from 1 species